rnacentral:rRNA from 3 species
GGGUUGUGAGGUUAAGCGACUAAGCGUACACGGUGGAUGCCCUGGCAGUCAGAGGCGAUGAAGGACGUGCUAAUCUGCGAUAAGCGCCGGUAAGGUGAUAUGAACCGUUAUAACCGGCGAUUUCCGAAUGGGGAAACCCAGUGUGACUCGUCACACUAUCAUUAACUGAAUCCAUAGGUUAAUGAGGCGAACCGGGGGAACUGAAACAUCUAAGUACCCCGAGGAAAAGAAAUCAACCGAGAUUCCCCCAGUAGCGGCGAGCGAACGGGGAGGAGCCCAGAGCCUGAAUCAGCAUGUGUGUUAGUGGAAGCGUCUGGAAAGGCGCGCGAUACAGGGUGACAGCCCCGUACACAAAAGCGCAUGUGCUGUGAGCUCGAUGAGUAGGGCGGGACACGUGGUAUCCUGUCUGAAUAUGGGGGGACCAUCCUCCAAGGCUAAAUACUCCUGACUGACCGAUAGUGAACCAGUACCGUGAGGGAAAGGCGAAAAGAACCCCGGCGAGGGGAGUGAAAAAGAACCUGAAACCGUGUACGUACAAGCAGUGGGAGCACCCUUUUGGGUGUGACUGCGUACCUUUUGUAUAAUGGGUCAGCGACUUAUAUUCUGUAGCAAGGUUAACCGCAUAGGGGAGCCGGAGGGAAACCGAGUCUUAAUUGGGCGUUAAGUUGCAGGGUAUAGACCCGAAACCCGGUGAUCUAGCCAUGGGCAGGUUGAAGGUUGGGUAACACUAACUGGAGGACCGAACCGACUAAUGUUGAAAAAUUAGCGGAUGACCUGUGGCUGGGGGUGAAAGGCCAAUCAAACCGGGAGAUAGCUGGUUCUCCCCGAAAGCUAUUUAGGUAGCGCCUCGUGAAUUCAUCUCCGGGGGUAGAGCACUGUUUCGGCUAGGGGGCCAUCCCGGCUUACCAACCCGAUGCAAACUGCGAAUACCGGAGAAUGUUAUCACGGGAGACACACGGCGGGUGCUAACGUCCGUCGUGAAGAGGGAAACAACCCAGACCGCCAGCUAAGGUCCCAAAGUCAUGGUUAAGUGGGAAACGAUGUGGGAAGGCCCAGACAGCCAGGAUGUUGGCUUAGAAGCAGCCAUCAUUUAAAGAAAGCGUAAUAGCUCACUGGUCGAGUCGGCCUGCGCGGAAGAUGUAACGGGGCUAAACCAUGCACCGAAGCUGCGGCAGCGACGCUUAUGCGUUGUUGGGUAGGGGAGCGUUCUGUAAGCCUGCGAAGGUGGCCUGUGAGGGUUGCUGGAGGUAUCAGAAGUGCGAAUGCUGACAUAAGUAACGAUAAAGCGGGUGAAAAGCCCGCUCGCCGGAAGACCAAGGGUUCCUGUCCAACGUUAAUCGGGGCAGG